UACGUAGGGGGCAAGCGUUGUCCGGAAUCAUUGGGCGUAAAGCGCGUGUAGGCGGCUUGGUAAGUCCGCUCUGAAAGCCCGGGGCUCAACCCCGGGAGGCGGGUGGAUACUGUCAAGCUCGAGUCCGGAAGAGGCGAGUGGAAUCCAGGUGUAGCGGUGAAAUGCGUAGAGUAUCUGGAGGAACACCGGUGGCGAAGGCGGCAUCCUGGACCAACACUGACGCUGAGGAGCGAAAGCCAGGGGAGCAAAGCGGG
rnacentral:rRNA from 1 species